UUACGGUCAAAUCACGCUGAAACACCGGUUCUCGUACGAUCACCGAAGUUAAGCAGCGUAGAGCCAGGUCAGUACUUAGAUGGGGGACCACUUGGGAACACCUGGUACUGUAAG
rnacentral:rRNA from 1 species